UUUUGCCUUGUGGUUUUACAGAUGACUAUUAUCCAAAUAAUUAUUGACAAAUAUCAAGAGUCAUUUGAAGACCAUGACAUUCCAAUUUGUAAGGAUAAUCAAAGUAGGUCUGAUGAUGUCAAAGUGUCAUUUAAUACUGCUGCAGGGGACAGUGUAACACCUUCAAAAUACAACGUUCCACAACAGAAGCAUCCUCAUGACUGAAGGAUGUCCUGACGAUUCUAUUUCAAUGUUCCCUUCUAUCUUCUACUUUACCAUCGCAGAAGAUAUUAUUACAAGAAACAACUGCAGUUUUAUAUUGAACCAUAUUACUUGCUGCAAAUAGUUUCAUUCACUAUACUUUAUGUUGUGCAUUACAUAAACUUAUCUAUUAUAAUAAAAUUUUAUUCAAUUAUAUUAUUGCUUAAAC